rnacentral:rRNA from 1 species
CCUGGCUCAGGAUGAACGCUAGCGGCAGGCCUAACACAUGCAAGUCGAACGGUAACAUGAGUAGCAAUACUUGAUGACGAGUGGCGCACGGGUGCGUAACGCGUAUGCAACUUACCUCUAACUGGAGAAUAGCCUUCCGAAAGGAAGAAUAAUACUCCAUAAUAUUACGAUGUGGCAUCGACAUUGUUCUUAAAGCUUCGGCGGUUAGAGAUGGGCAUGCGUCUGAUUAGCUUGUUGGUGAGGUAACGGCUCACCAAGGCAACGAUCAGUAGGGGGCCUGAGAGGGUUAUCCCCCACACUGGUACUGAGACACGGACCAGACUCCUACGGGAGGCAGCAGUGAGGAAUAUUGGUCAAUGGACGAAAGUCUGAACCAGCCAUGCCGCGUGCAGGAUGAAUGCCCUAUGGGUUGUAAACUGCUUUUAUAUAGGAAUAAACCCCUUUACGUGUAAAGGGCUGAAGGUACUAUAAGAAUAAGGACCGGCUAACUCCGUG